rnacentral:rRNA from 1 species
UACGUAGGGUCCGAGCGUUGUCCGGAAUUACUGGGCGUAAAGAGCUCGUAGGUGGUUUGUCGCGUUGUCCGUGAAAACUCACAGCUCAACUGUGGGCGUGCAGGCGAUACGGGCAGACUGGAGUACUGCAGGGGAGACUGGAAUUCCUGGUGUAGCGGUGGAAUGCGCAGAUAUCAGGAGGAACACCGGUGGCGAAGGCGGGUCUCUGGGCAGUAACUGACGCUGAGGAGCGAAAGCGUGGGGAGCGAACAGG